AGAGGGGUUGCAUAUACUCGAAAUCUUCUCUGUUUCCCACUACCCUCCUAUAUAACUGCCAAAGACAGACAGAUAGAUAAUUUGUACCAGCAAAAAAACACGCAUAUUUCCAAUUAUUAUUGCAGCUAGCCUCCCACUUGACCUGCAACGAUCAUGCAGGCAUUGGCCAAUUCUCCUCCUGCGCCUGAAGGAAUAAAUUAUCAGACCUCGAGACUAAUUUAUGACUGGCCAGCUGCUUUUAACGCCCCUGCAAGGGUCCAGAACUGUUCUGCUGAUAUGGAGGAUGGCAUCAUAAGUGUUGGAUUAAUGAGCUGUUCAAACUUACGUUGAUGCAACUUUAGCCGAAGGUAUUAAUAUUGCUUUGCAGGAGAAACUUGUAUUUUACACAAAGGAACCUUGUAAUUUUAUCUGCCUUUCUAUGAUAAUUUUCAUUCUAACAAAAGGGAAUAACAUGAAAAAUUUUACGCACGUCCAAAAUUUAGCAAAAGGAAUGAAACAAAAUAUAUGCACUUCCAACCUCCAGCACUUAAAUGACUCCUGAUUUGCUCUUUUUAUAAAGUCGAGCUGGGAAACAACAAUAUACACUGUUUGAAGAUUCGUUAGUGAAGAUUGUCGCUUGACUGGGCAAAUUUGGACAUCACUUUCCGGGUCGGUGGAAUAUGAAGAUGCUAGCCAGUAUUCGAGUGGAAAUCUGGCUCCCCUUCCGCGAUGACCACUCAAAUGUUCUCCAGCUUCAUGUCUUACCUCACCUGGUAUUAAAAGAAAGAAGAUGGCUUAUUUUUUGAC